CUGGUUUUUGAGUUAUAACCAUUUUCUCAAUUUAUUAGGAAAAAAAUAUUAAUUUUUUAAAAAUAUUUUUUUUCUCUACACCCUGUAUAUUUUUCAAAAAACCCUGAAAUAGGUGUCUAAUGAAUUUAAUUGAAGAACCCGUAUACAAAUUUUCAGGUGUUUAGGUGCUCUGGUUUUUGAGUUAUGGUCAUUUUCUCAAUUUAUUAGUAAAAAAAAUAUUAAUUUUUCAAAAAUAUUUUUUUUCUCUACACCCUGUAUAUUUUUCAAAAAACCCUGAAAUAGGUGUCUAAUGAAUUUAAUUGAAGAACCCGUGUACAAAUUUUCAGGUGUUUAGGUGCCCUGGUUUUUGAGUUAUGG